rnacentral:lncRNA from 1 species
AGAAGCAGAAUAGAUAGGUUCAGAGGGAGGAAGAUAAGGAGGUUGCUUUAGCAGGUUCAGAAUUCUAGUCUUAUGGAAAACCACAGACAGACAGACAGACAGAACGGCUACAUAAAUAUAUGAAUUUACUUGAUAAUGCCUAACGGCUUAUGUUACAAUAUAAUGACCCCCAACACCAGAAUAUUUGUGAAAGAUUUCCUAUCCAAGUGUUCCCUGGCCUGUCUGUCCACCUAUCACAGCCACCAGUUCCCACAGGCAGCCCCUAGCUUCUAGCCAUUGUAGUAGGACAAGAGCACACUGCGUUGUGAUGUUCUCUGCCACUGAGGCUGUGCAAGAGGACACAUGGAGCCGUCACCAGGGAGACCUAUGCGGGAGACAUGACUGCACUGCGAAUAACAAGUAUCUCUUGCGAACACAGUAUGACCUUCCAGACCUUAAGAGAGAGGCAUUUCUGAAGCAUCGCUGUUUUCAGAGAUCAAUAUUCCAAUUUUCCUGAAAGGAAGCCACAGAUUCUCUGAGUAGCAUCAAUGAGGACUCUGGAGCCUGGCCACACUUCCUCCUUCACAGGUGGCUUAAUGAGGCUUCCUGAGGAAGUGCGGUUCUGAGGAAGUGCAGCCAGCACCAACACACAGUUAUUCCUUGUAGCUCUCCCGCCAACGGUGAGAAGACAACCUGCUGGGUGUAGGUCAUCACAUACAUUCCCAGCGUCUGCAACCAAUUACGUGAGAGAAAAGUUCCAAGAAAGCUCUGGCGAUGGAAUGCAAGAGAAUCAGCUUUUACACCAUUUGGUAGCUCACUGCGUCCAGAAAUAUCAGAAUUUAAUGCCUAUUUCUCUGUGACGGACAGGACCAGGAACACCAUGGGAGACAGGAGUAGAAACAGAUCUAAGAACCAGAGGACCGGAGGAGUCUAUGAUAUACUAUCUUCUGGACCAGGAGUGUGACUGCGAGUACAGACGGACUGCAGCUGUGUCACCUGUGCAAGGCCCAGUCAAAAGCAUCAGUCAACAUCCCAGCAAGCACUAAUUAAACUUAUUAAGC